GACGUAGGGCGCGAGCGUUGUCCGGAUUUAUUGGGCGUAAAGAGCUCGUAGGCGGCUUGUUGCGUCGACUGUGAAAACCCGCGGCUUAACCGCGGGCCUGCAGUUGAUACGGGCAGGCUAGAGUUCGGUAGGGGAGUCUGGAAUUCCUGGUGUAGCGGUGAAAUGCGCAGAUAUCAGGAGGAACACCGGUGGCGAAGGCGGGACUCUGGGCCGAUACUGACGCUGAGGAGCGAAAGCGUGGGGAGCGAACAGG
rnacentral:rRNA from 1 species